rnacentral:rRNA from 1 species
AUUGAACGCUGGCGGCAUGCCUUACACAUGCAAGUCGAACGGCAGCACGGGAGCAAUCCUGGUGGCGAGUGGCGAACGGGUGAGGAAAGUAUCGGAACGUGCCCAGUCGUGGGGGAUAACGUAGCGAAAGUUACGCUAAUACCGCAUACGAUCUAUGGAUGAAAGCGGGGGAUCGCAAGACCUCGCGCGAUUGGAGCGGCCGAUAUCAGAUUAGGUAGUUGGUGGGGUAAAGGCCCACCAAGCCGACGAUCUGUAGCUGUUCUGAGAGGACGACCAGCCACACUGGAACUGAGACACGGCCCAGACUCCUACGGGAGGCAGCAGUGGGGAAUUUUGGACAAUGGGCGAAAGCCUGAUCCAGCCAUGCCGCGUGCAGGAUGAAGGCCUUCGGGUUGUAAACUGCUUUUGUACGGAACGAAAAGGACUGCCCUAAUACGGUGGUCCCAUGACGGUACCGUAAGAAUAAGCACCGGCUAACUACGUGCCAGCCGCCGCAGUAACAC